ACACCUCAACUCUUCAUGGUUUUCCAUGAAGAGCUUGGACUCUGGGGGUCUUGCUGGCCUGUGGUCGGCUCCUCUCAAAUGAAUCAGCUUGCCAGUGUUUGGUGGGCACCACAGGUGUGAUAACUAUCUACGCUUGUGGUUUUCCACCAGGGUAACCUUCAGCAAUGGAGGUUCACUGGAGCUCACAAAUGUCUCUCCUCAGUGGGGACAGCCCUUUGAAU
rnacentral:misc_RNA from 1 species